AUUAGCUAGUUGGUAGGGUAAUGGCCUACCAAGGCGACGAUGGUUAGCUGGUCUGAGAGGAUGAUCAGCCACACUGGAACUGAGACACGGUCCAGACUCCUACGGGAGGCAGCAGUGAGGAAUCUUGCGCAAUGGGGGAAACCCUGACGCAGCAACGCCGCGUGAGUGAGGAAGGUCUUCGGAUCGUAAACGGCUAACUCCGUGCCAGCAGCCGCGGUAAUACGGGGGGUGCAAGCGUUGUUCGGAAUUAUUGGGCGUAAAGAGCGUGUAGGCGGCCUGAUGUGUCAGAUGUGAAAGCCCUGGGCUUAACCCAGGAAGUGCAUUUGAAACUGUCAGGCUUGAGUAGGGGAGAGGGAAGUGGAAUUCCUGGUGUAGAGGUGAAAUUCGUAGAUAUCAGGAGGAACACCGGUGGCGAAGGCGACUUCCUGGCCCUAUACCGACGCUGAGACGCGAGAGCGUGGGGUAGCAAACAGGAUUAGAUACCCUGGUAGUCCACCCCGUAAACGAUGUUCACUAGGUGUNGGGGGUAUUGACCCCCCAAUGCCNGGNCUAAAACUUNAAUGAACC
rnacentral:rRNA from 1 species